AUUGAACGCUGGCGGCAUGCCUUACACAUGCAAGUCGAACGGCAGCACGGGUGCUUGCCCCUGGUGGCGAGUGGCGAACGGGUGAGUAAUACAUCGGAACAUGUCCUGUAGUGGGGGAUAGCCCGGCGAAAGCCGGAUUAAUACCGCAUACGAUCCACGGAUGAAAGCGGGGGACCUUCGGGCCUCGCGCUAUAGGGUUGGCCGAUGGCUGAUUAGCUAGUUGGUGGGGUAAAGGCCUACCAAGGCGACGAUCAGUAGCUGGUCCGAGAGGACGACCAGCCACACUGGGACUGAGACACGGCCCAGACUCCUACGGGAGGCAGCAGUGGGGAAUUUUGGACAAUGGGCGAAAGCCUGAUCCAGCAAUGCCGCGUGUGUGAAGAAGGCCUUCGGGUUGUAAAGCACUUUUGUCCGGAAAGAAAUCCUUGACUCUAAUACAGUCGGGGGAUGACGGUACCGGAAGAAUAAGCACCGGCUAACUACGUG
rnacentral:rRNA from 1 species